CUCCCGGAUUCUGUCUACGGU
rnacentral:sRNA from 1 species